rnacentral:rRNA from 1 species
GACGAACGCUGGCGGCGUGCUUAACACAUGCAAGUCGAGCGGAAAGGCCCUUCGGGGUACUCGAGCGGCGAACGGGUGAGUAACACGUGAGUAACCUGCCCCAGACUUUGGGAUAACCCUCGGAAACGGGGGCUAAUACCGGAUACGACACAGCUUCGCAUGGGGUCUGUGUGGAAAGUUUUUCGGUUUGGGAUGGGCUCGCGGCCUAUCAGCUUGUUGGUGGGGUGAUGGCCUACCAAGGCGACGUCGGGUAGCCGGCCUGAGAGGGCGACCGGCCACACUGGGACUGAGACACGGCCCAGACUCCUACGGGAGGCAGCAGUGGGGAAUAUUGCACAAUGGGCGGAAGCCUGAUGCAGCGACGCCGCGUGAGGGAUGACGGCCUUCGGGUUGUAAACCUCUUUCAGCAGGGACGAAGCGUAAGUGACGGUACCUGCAGAAGAAGCGCCGGCCAACUACGUG